UACGAAGGGGGCUAGCGUUGCUCGGAAUCACUGGGCGUAAAGGGUGCGUAGGCGGGUCUUUAAGUCGGGGGUGAAAUCCUGGAGCUCAACUCCAGAACUGCCUUCGAUACUGUAGAGCUUGAGUUCGGGAGAGGUGAGUGGAACUGCGAGUGUAGAGGUGAAAUUCGUAGAUAUUCGCAAGAACACCAGUGGCGAAGGCGGCUCAC
rnacentral:rRNA from 1 species